rnacentral:rRNA from 1 species
AGGGGAGCGUUCUGUAAGCCUGCGAAGGUGUGCUGUGAGGCAUGCUGGAGGUAUCAGAAGUGCGAAUGCUGACAUAAGUAACGAUAAAGCGGGUGAAAAGCCCGCUCGCCGGAAGACCAAGGGUUCCUGUCCAACGUUAAUCGGGGCAGGGUGAGUCGACCCCUAAGGCGAGGCCGAAAGGCGUAGUCGAUGGGAAACAGGUUAAUAUUCCUGUACUUGGUGUUACUGCGAAGGGGGGACGGAGAAGGCUAUGUUGGCCGGGCGACGGUUGUCCCGGUUUAAGCGUGUAGGCUGGUUUUCCAGGCAAAUCCGGAAAAUCAAGGCUGAGGCGUGAUGACGAGGCACUACGGUGCUGAAGCAACAAAUGCCCUGCUUCCAGGAAAAGCCUCUAAGCAUCAGGUAACAUCAAAUCGUACCCCAAACCGACACAGGUGGUCAGGUAGAGAAUACCAAGGCGCUUGAGAGAACUCGGGUGAAGGAACUAGGCAAAAUGGUGCCGUAACUUCGGGAGAAGGCACGCUGAUAUGUAGGUGAAGUCCCUCGCGGAUGGAGCUGAAAUCAGUCGAAGAUACCAGCUGGCUGCAACUGUUUAUUAAAAACACAGCACUGUGCAAACACGAAAGUGGACGUAUACGGUGUGACGCCUGCCCGGUGCCGG